AAAAAAAAAAAAAAAACAGAAAAAAAGAGAGGAGUAAACAGGUAAAAUGGAUUUCAUCUCAAAUGUGACCGCCAGCGAUGUGGCAGUGUUUUUU
rnacentral:ribozyme from 1 species